GGAGUGGACGCAUCACUGGUGUUCGGGUUGUCAUGCCAAUGGCACUGCCCGGUAGCUAAAUGCGGAAGAGAUAAGUGCUGAAAGCAUCUAAGCACGAAACUUGCCCCGAGAUGAGUUCUCCCUGAGACUUUAAGUCUCCUGAAGGAACGUUGAAGACGACGACGUUGAUAGGCCGGGUGUGUAAGCGCAGCGAUGCGUUGAGCUAACCGGUACUAAUGAACCGUGAGGCUUAACCUUACAACGCCGAAG
rnacentral:rRNA from 1 species